rnacentral:rRNA from 1 species
AUUAGCCUAGCUAAUUUGCUGACGAGUGGCGCACGGGUGCGUAACGCGUAUACAAUCUGCCUUUAAGCGGGGAAUAGCCCAUGGAAACGUGGAUUAAUACCCCAUAGUCUAUAAACUUCACCUGGAGAUUAUAGUAAACAUUUAUGGCUUAAAGAUGAGUAUGCGUCCUAUUAGUUAGUUGGUAAGGUAACGGCUUACCAAGACCGCGAUAGGUAGGGGUCCUGAGAGGGAGAUCCCCCACACUGGUACUGAGACACGGACCAGACUCCUACGGGAGGCAGCAGUGAGGAAUAUUGGACAAUGGAGGCAACUCUGAUCCAGCCAUGCCGCGUGCAGGAAGACGGCCCUAUGGGUUGUAAACUGCUUUUAUACGGGAAGAACCACAUCUACGUGUAGAUGCUUGACGGUACCGUAUGAAUAAGGACCGGCUAACUCCGUGCCAGCAGCCGCGGUAAUACGGAGGGUCCAAGCGUUAUCCGGAAUCAUUGGGGUUUAAAGGGUCCGUAGGCGGGAUAAUAAGUCAGUGGUGAAAGUCUGCAGCUCAACUGUAGAAUUGAUUGCCCAUUGAAACUGUGGUUCUUGAAUUAUUAUGAAGGGGUUGGAAUGAGUAGGUGUAGCGGUGAAAAUGCAUAGAUAUUACUCAGAACACUAUUGCGAAGGCAGAUCACUAAUAAUAUAUUGACGCUGAGGGACGAAAGCGUAGGUAGCGAACAGGAUUAGAUACCCUGGUAGUCUACGCCGUAAACGAUGGUUACUAGCUGUUCGGGCUCGAUUGAGAGCUGAGUGGUUAAGCGAAAGUGAUAAGUAACCCACCUGGGGAGUACGUUCGCAAGAAUGAAACUCAAAGGAAUUGACGGGGGCCCGCACAAGCGGUGGAGCAUGUGGUUUAAUUCGAUGAUACGCGAGGAACCUUACCAGGGCUUAAAUGCAGUUGGACAGGUCUGGAAACAGACCCUUCUUCGGACUAAUUGCAAGGUGCUGCAUGGUUGUCGUCAGCUCGUGCCGUGAG